GACGAACGCUGGCGGCGUGCUUAACACAUGCAAGUCGAGCGGUAAGGCUCCUUCGGGAGUACACGAGCGGCGAACGGGUGAGUAACACGUGAGUAAUCUGCCCUUCACUUCGGGAUAACCACCGGAAACGGUGGCUAAUACCGAAUACGACCAGUCUUCGCAUGAGGUGCUGGUGGAAAGCCUUUUCGGUGAAGGAUGUGCUCGCGGCCUAUCAGCUUGUUGGUGGGGUAAUGGCCUACCAAGGCUUCGACGGGUAGCCGGCCUGAGGGGGUGACCGGCCACACUGGGACUGAGACACGGCGCAGACUCCUACGGGAGGCAGCAGUGGGGAAGAUUGGACAAUGGGCGAAAGCCUGAUCCAGCAACGCCGCGUGAGGGAUGACGGCCUUCGGGUUGUAAACCUCUUUCAGUACCUACGAAGCGCCCUGUCGGGUGGUGACGGUAGGUACAGAAGAAGGACCGGCCAACUACGUG
rnacentral:rRNA from 1 species